GACGAGGGGUCCAAGCGUUGUUCGGAAUCAUUGGGCGUAAAGCGGGUGUAGGCGGCUCUAUAAGUCAGGAGUGAAAGCCCCAAGCUUAACUUGGGAAGUGCUUUUGAUACUGCAGAGCUUUGAAUGUGGGAGAGGGUAGUGGAAUUCCAGGUGUAGUGGUGAAAUACGUAGAUAUCUGGAGGAACACCGGUGGCGAAGGCGGGUCUCUGGGCCGAUACUGACGCUGAGGAGCGAAAGCGUGGGGGAGCGAACAGG
rnacentral:rRNA from 1 species